rnacentral:rRNA from 1 species
UACGUAGGCAGCGAGCGUUGUUCGGAGUUACUGGGCGUAAAGGGUGUGUAGGCGGUUGUUUAAGUUUGGUGUGAAAUCUCCCGGCUCAACUGGGGGGGUGCGCCGAAUACUGAAUGACUAGAGUGCGGGAGAGGAAAGUGGAAUUCCUGGUGUAGCGGUGAAAUGCGUAGAUAUCAGGAGGAACACCGGGGGUGUAGACGGCUUUCUGGACCGUAACUGACGCUGAGACACGAAAGCGUGGGUAGCAAACAGG